rnacentral:rRNA from 1 species
CCUACGGGGGGCAGCAGUGGGGGAUAUUGGACAAUGGGGGGAACCCUGAUCCAGCGACGCCGCGUGAGUGAAGAAGUAUUUCGGUAUGUAAAGCUCUGUCAGCAGGGAAGAAAGAAAUGACGGUACCUGACCAAGAAGCCCCGGCUAACUACGUGCCAGCAGCCGCGGUAAUACGUAGGGGGCAAGCGUUAUCCGGAAUUACUGGGUGUAAAGGGAGCGUAGACGGUUAAGUAAGUCUGGAGUGAAAGGCCGGGGCGCAACCCCGGGACUGCUCUGGAAACUAUUGAACUUGAGUGCAGGAGAGGUAAGCGGAAUUCCUAGUGUAGCGGUGAAAUGCGUAGAUAUUAGGAGGAACACCAGUGGCGAAGGCGGCUUACUGGACUGUAACUGACGUUGAGGCUCGAAAGCGUGGGGAGCAAACAGGAUUAGAUACCCCAGUAGUC